rnacentral:tRNA from 1 species
GAGGGUACAGCUCAAGUGGUAGAGCUCAUGCUUAGCAUGCAUGAAGUCCUGGGUUCAAUCCCCAGUACCUCCA